GAAAGAGACAUUGAAAGAUGAAGAAGAUGUAGAACAAAUAUCGCCAAAAAAUGAGCCAGGAGAAAAUCUUGAACGUUCAGCUAGCAUGAUAUCUGCGGAAACCGAGAAAGUUGCUUUGAAUAAAACGACUCGGAAAACUGAGGAAGAGAUAGAUGAGGGUGUUGAAGGCGUCAAAAAGGAGGGAGAAACUAGAAAAGAAGAUGGCGAGGAACAGGUCAAUGAUGAGAACGAUGCUAAAAGCAUCCCAGUAGAAUCUAUCAAGGAAGUUACAGUUAGCAAACUGCUGGAUGAUGAAAAUAAUGCCGAGGAGUUCAAAAGAGAGGUGAGUGUAAACUUUGUCUCUAUUAAUAUAUUCUAUACUCUUGUUUGUUGACUGAAAAGUUUUUGUUCGUUAAGCAGAUUUCUGAGGAAUCUGUGGCAGCUGGAACAAAUGAGAGUAUUACUGAUGUGACGUAUCAGAAUGAUGGAACAACCCCCGAUGCAGCUCCUGAAACUUCAACAGCGAAAGAGACAUUGAAAGAUGAAGAAGAUGUAGAACAAAUAUCGCCAAUGAAUGAGCCAGGAGAAAAUCUUGAAAGUUCAGCUAGCAUGAUAUCUGCAGAAACCGAGGAAGUUGCUUUGAAUAAAACGACUCGGAAAACUGAGGAAGAGAUAGAUGAGGUUGUUGAAGGCGUCAAGAAGGAGGCAGAAACUGGAAAAGAAGAUGGCGAGGUACAGGUCAUUGACGAGAACAAUGCUAAAAGCAUCCCAGUAGAAUCCAUCAAGGAAGUUCCAGUUAGCAAAUUGCUGAAUGAUGAAAAUAAUGCUGAGGCGUUUAAAAGAGAGGUGAGUGUAAACUUUGUCUCUAUCAAUUUAUUCCAUACUCUUGUUUGUUGACUGAAAAGUUUUUGUUUGUUAAGCAGAUUUCUGAGGAAUCUGUGGCAGCUGGAACAAAUGAGAAUAUUACAGAUGCGACGUGUCAGAAUGAUGGAACAACCCCCAAUGCAGCUCCUGAAACUUCGACAGCGAAAGAGAAAUUGAAAGAUGAAGAGGAUGUAGAACAAAUACCGCCCAAGAAUGAGCCAGGAGAAAAUCUUGAAAGUUCAGCUGGUAUGAUACCUGCAGAAACCGAGGAAGUUACUUUGAAUAAAACAACUCGGAAAACUGAGGAAGAGAUAGAUGAGGGUGUUGAAGGCAUCAAGAAGGAGGCAGAAACUGGAAAAGAAGAUGGCGAGGAACAGGUCAUUGAUGAGAACGAUGCUAAAAGCAUCCCAGUAGAAUCUAUCAAAGAUGUUCCAGUUAGCAAACUGUUAAAUGAUGAAAAUAAUGCUGAGGC
rnacentral:lncRNA from 1 species